rnacentral:rRNA from 1 species
UACGGAGGGGGCUAGCGUUGUUCGGAAUUACUGGGCGUAAAGCGCGCGUAGGCGGACCUGCAAGUCGGGGGUGAAAGCCCGAGGCUCAACCUCGGAACUGCCUUCGAUACUGCGGGUCUCGAGUCCGGGAGAGGUGAGUGGAAUUCCUAGUGUAGAGGUGAAAUUCGUAGAUAUCAGGAAGAACACCCGUGGCUAAGGCGGCUCUCUAGUACGGUACUGACGCUGAGACGCGAAAGCGUGGGGAGCGAACAGG